rnacentral:rRNA from 1 species
AGUGAACGCUGGCGGUAGGCCUAACACAUGCAAGUCGAACGGCAGCACAGUAAGAGCUUGCUCUUACGGGUGGCGAGUGGCGGACGGGUGAGGAAUACAUCGGCAUCUACUUUUUCGUGGGGGAUAACGUAGGGAAACUUACGCUAAUACCGCAUACGACCUACGGGUGAAAGCAGGGGAUCUUCGGACCUUGCGAGAUUGAAUGAGCCGAUGUCGGAUUAGCUAGUUGGGGGGGUAAAGGCCCACCAAGGCGACGAUCCAUAGCUGGUCUGAGAGGAUGAUCGGACACAGUGGGACUGAGAACAGGACCACACGCCUACGGGAGGCAGCAGUAGGGAAUAUUCGGAGAUGGAGGAAAGUCUGAACGAGCAAAGCAGCGUGAGUGAAGAAGGUUUUCGGAUCGUAAAACUCUGUUGGUAGAGAAGAACGUUGGUGAGAGUGGAAAGCUCAGCAAGUGAGGGUAACUAACCAGAAAGGGAGGGCUAACUACGUG